UGGCCAGGUUGCACUAACACAUGCAAGUCGAACGAACUUCGGGUUUAGUGGCGGACGGGUGAGUACGCUGAUCUGCCCUCAGGAGGGGGACAACAGCUGGAAACGGCUGCUAAUACCCCAUAUGCCGCGAGGUGAAAUGAAUUUCGCCUGAGGAUGAGCUCGCGUCUGAUUAGCUAGUUGGUGUAGGUAAUGGCUCACCAAGCAUCGAUCAGUAGCUGGGUCUGAGAGGAUGAUCAGCACAACUGGGACUGAGACACGGCCAGACUCCUACGGGAGGCAGCAGUGGGGAAUUUUCCGCAAUGGGCGAAAGCCUGACGGAGCAACGUUGCGUGAGGGAUGAAGGCCUCUGGGCUGUAAACCUCUUUUAUCAAGGAAGAAGAUCUGACGGUACUUGAUGAAUAAGCCACGGCUAAUUCCGUUGCCAGACAGCCGCGGUAAUACGGGAGUGGCAAGCGUUAUCCGGAAUUAUUGGGCGUAAAGCGUCCGCAGGCGGCCUUCAAGUCUGCUGUUAAAAAGUGGAGCUUAACUCCAUCAUGGCCAGUGGAAACUGUUGGGGCUUGAGUGUGGUAGGGGCAGAGGGAAUUCCCGGGUGUAGCCGGUGAAAUGCGUAAGAUAUCGGGAAAGAACACCAGUGGGCGAAGGCGCUCUGCUUGGGGCCAUCAACUUGACGGCUCAUGGAC
rnacentral:rRNA from 1 species